CCGACUUCCGGGCCCUAUACCGUGCAUGGCCAUCGACGUAUGAUCGGUUCGUAUCGCAGUUCUCUCUGGAUGAUCUGACGAUUAAGGAAUUGUUCCUUGCGAAAUGCAGUUUCACCUAAAUACAGAAACUGCACAUGCAGCAAACACUGGUUCCAGUGCAGUGUUAAAGCCUCAGCCUCUCUCGUACACAGUAACACCUAAGAAUUCCAGAACCGAC